rnacentral:rRNA from 1 species
CCUACGGGCGGCAGCAGUGGGGAAUAUUGCACAAUGGGGGAAACCCUGAUGCAGCGACGCCGCGUGAGUGAAGAAGUAUUUCGGUAUGUAAAGCUCUAUCAGCAGGGAAGAAGAAAGACGGUACCUGACUAAGAAGCCCCGGCUAACUACGUGCCAGCAGCCGCGGUAAUACGUAGGGGGCAAGCGUUAUCCGGAUUUACUGGGGUUAAAGGGAGAGUAGACGGCUGUGAAAGUCUGAAGUGAAAGCCCAGGGCUGAACCCUGGGACUGCUUUGGAAACGGUGGAGCUAGAGGGCCUGAGAGGGAAGGGGAAUUUCUAGGGGUGCGGGGAAAGGCGGAGAUAAUAGGAGGAACACCAGGGGCGAAGGCGGGUUACCGGACAGUAACUGACGUUGAGGCUUGAAAGCGGUGGGAGCAAACAGGAUUAGAUACCCCUGUAGUC